UUUGUCUAUAUUGCCAACGUACGGUACAUUGACAAAUAAUUGUGUGCCGUGCUUGAACAGGUGGUGGUGGACAAUAUACCGUUACAGUUGAUAAUUAGGACAGACAAUCAUGCCCCCGACAGACAACCCAAAAAGAUUUCCCGGUGAAGUUGAUGAAGCAUAUCAACUAAACCACCACAACCAACCGAGAAAAAACCCGGACAGCUAUCUCAACAUAUGAUAGAUCAAUUUUUUAAUGACGGUUAUGUAAUUGUAGAAAAGUUUUUCGACUGUGAAAAAGAUUUGGAACCCUGUAAAAAGGCCAUAGAACAGGAUGUCGACAAAUUGGCCAACAAGCUCUUUAAAGGCGGCAAAAUCAAGCAACUGUAUAAUGAAUAUGGAUUACGUGACCGACUUAUCCACAUAGAGAACGAGUUUCCUGGAGCUAAUAUAAUUCUUCAUAAAUCGGCGACAUUGGCACAGGCUUAUAGAGAUUUAUGGACUAAUGAAAGGUUACUAAAUGUUGUAGAGCAGUUUAUUGGACCGGAAAUAUCUGGCAAUCCAGUCUGGAACCUCAGAACAAAAACACCAAAUAAUGAAGCUACAAAUGUUCCUUGGCAUCAAGCUUACCAAACUUAUCAGAUGAAAUUCGCUGGAGUUUAGAUUUACGCUGGCAGAAAACGGGUCUCCCAGCAUCCUUUUAUGAUCUUCAGGAGUGUGUUGAAUUUAGAUCUCCCGCUAAACCAAAUUUAAAAAUAGACUGGAGUCAGUAUGAUGGCGUAAACCGACACGGAGUUGCUGCUAAAGA